AGUGAACGCUGGCGGUAGGCCUAACACAUGCAAGUCGAACGGCAGCACAGUAAGAGCUUGCUCUUACGGGUGGCGAGUGGCGGACGGGUGAGGAAUACAUCGGAAUCUACUUUUUCGUGGGGGAUAACGUAGGGAAACUUACGCUAAUACCGCAUACGACCUACGGGUGAAAGCAGGGGAUCUUCGGACCUUGCGCGAUUGAAUGAGCCGAUGUCGGAUUAGCUAGUUGGCGGGGUAAAGGCCCACCAAGGCGACGAUCCGUAGCUGGUCUGAGAGGAUGAUCAGCCAAACUGGAACUGAGACACGGUCCAGACUCCUACGGGAGGCAGCAGUGGGGAAUAUUGGACAAUGGGCGCAAGCCUGAUCCAGCCAUACCGCGUGGGUGAAGAAGGCCUUCGGGUUGUAAAGCCCUUUUGUUGGGAAAGAAAAGCAGCAGGUUAAUACCCCGCUGUUCUGACGGUACCCAAAGAAUAAACACCGGCUAACUGCGU
rnacentral:rRNA from 1 species